CAGUCGUACGCUUCUUUUUCCCCGGAGCUUGCUCCACCGGAAAAAGAAGAGUGGCGAACGGGUGAGUAACACGUGGGUAACCUGCCCAUCAGAAGGGGAUAACACUUGGAAACAGGUGCUAAUACCGUAUAACAAUCGAAACCGCAUGGUUUUGAUUUGAAAGGCGCUUUCGGGUGUCGCUGAUGGAUGGACCCGCGGUGCAUUAGCUAGUUGGUGAGGUAACGGCUCACCAAGGCUACGAUGCAUAGCCGACCUGAGAGGGUGAUCGGCCACAUUGGGACUGAGACACGGCCCAAACUCCUACGGGAGGCAGCAGUAGGGAAUCUUCGGCAAUGGACGAAAGUCUGACCGAGCAACGCCGCGUGAGUGAAGAAGGUUUUCGGAUCGUAAAACUCUGUUGUUAGAGAAGAACAAGGAUGAGAGUAACUGUUCAUCCCUUGACGGUAUCUAACCAGAAAGCCACGGCUAACUACGUGCCAGCAGCCGCGGUAAUACGUAGGUGGCAAGCGUUGUCCGGAUUUAUUGGGCGUAAAGCGAGCGCAGGCGGUUUCUUAAGUCUGAUGUGAAAGCCCCCGGCUCAACCGGGGAGGGUCAUUGGAAACUGGGAGACUUGAGUGCAGAAGAGGAGAGUGGAAUUCCAUGUGUAGCGGUGAAAUGCGUAGAUAUAUGGAGGAACACCAGUGGCGAAGGCGGCUCUCUGGUCUGUAACUGACGCUGAGGCUCGAAAGCGUGGGGAGCAAACAGGAUUAGAUACCCUGGUAGUCCACGCCGUAAACGAUGAGUGCUAAGUGUUGGAGGGUUUCCGCCCUUCAGUGCUGCAGCUAACGCAUUAAGCACUCCGCCUGGGGAGUACGACCGCAAGGUUGAAACUCAAAGGAAUUGACGGGGGCCCGCACAAGCGGUGGAGCAUGUGGUUUAAUUCGAAGCAACGCGAAGAACCUUACCAGGUCUUGACAUCCUUUGACCACUCUAGAGAUAGAGCUUCCCCUUCGGGGGCAAAGUGACAGGUGGUGCAUGGUUGUCGUCAGCUCGUGUCGUGAGAUGUUGGGUUAAGUCCCGCAACGAGCGCAACCCUUAUUGUUAGUUGCCAUCAUUCAGUUGGGCACUCUAGCAAGACUGCCGGUGACAAACCGGAGGAAGGUGGGGAUGACGUCAAAUCAUCAUGCCCCUUAUGACCUGGGCUACACACGUGCUACAAUGGGAAGUACAACGAGUCGCGAAGUCGCGAGGCUAAGCUAAUCUCUUAAAGCUUCUCUCAGUUCGGAUUGUAGGCUGCAACUCGCCUACAUGAAGCCGGAAUCGCUAGUAAUCGCGGAUCAGCACGCCGCGGUGAAUACGUUCCCGGGCCUUGUACACACCGCCCGUCACACCACGAGAGUUUGUAACACCCGAAGUCGGUGAGGUAACCUUUG
rnacentral:rRNA from 1 species